GAAGUUCCUGGCAGUGCCCACGCGGAGAGAGUUCCAAAAGCGGGGCUUGCUGAGGUGCUUGCUGAGUUGUGGUCUUACGUAGGUCUGCUGUGGGACCCAGAAACCUACAUCUCCCACGUCUCAACUAAGGCAGAGGCCAAAGGGUGUGCUGUGGACACUGCAGCAAGCUAUCAGGGGAGGCCAAGGCACAGAUGUCCUGGGGCAGCCACUCCAGCUUCCUGGGAGGACUCGUGAGAGAAGCAGGUUGCGAUCUCUGAUAUGGAAUUGAAGUAAAAACAUCUGUUUAUUCUGUGUUCUCCUGUGUCUGCACAAACACACUGAAAAGGGGCCAAGCGCACUCUGAGUCAUCGAAGCUCCGUCCCUGUGCCGUCUGAGAAGCUCAGUGUGUGACCAGCCGAGGCUGUAACCUGUGACUCGUGCUUGCAGGGCUGCCAACCCCUCACAGCCAGGUAGAAGGCAUUCAAGAGCUUGGCAGGCAAAUUCAGUCUGAAGCGUUAGCGAGAAGACAGGCAGUGAGGCACUUAGAUUUCACUUCUGCUGGAAAACAAAUACCAUUGCACACUGCAUCUGGGCCACACUGCCCCAAUCUGCCUUUUCCUUAAAGACGCUUUGCGGAACAGAGGUCUUUAUUCUGUUCCAGGUUGUUCGGGAAGCGUGAGGCGCACGACUAUUUGACCCUCCAGGUUGGGCAGCUUCAUCUGAUAGACAAUUCAAGCCGUGUAUUUACCAGUGAGCAGCAGCACCCUCGAGGCGGUGAGUGUGUGGAGCUGGCUGCAGGGUCCAGCCUACGCUGGGAAGCCUCGUUUCCCGCUGCAAGACUCCCUCCCUACGGCCGCUGCAGGAACAGUCAGAGCGGAGUUUGUGGGAAACCCAGGAGCGCUGCCUCUCCCACCGGCGGUUUAACUCUGGACAAGCUGUCCCGUUCUCCGAGUCCCAUUUGCCACCACCUUAGCCAGCUUUCCGUAUCAGUAACACAUGCCUGAGACCGUGGACCUCACAGGGGAAGCGUGGACUUCCCGGCCCUGGUCCGGCCCAGCCCCUCGCUUCUGGGCCUGCAGCGAGGCGCACGGGGUGGGGCAAAGCCAUGGAACUCGUGGGAACACGACAGGAAGAGGAAGCUCCCUCCAGGGUCGUGUCCCCUCCACGGCCUGUGCCCAGCAAUCUGUGGCUGCCCAGGCCCCGCCUCCACACCUUCCGCAGCCUGAACGUGGGAGCUUUGAGGACAUCUACCAGCAAACCUGUAGGACCCAGAUGAGAAAGCAGCCACGCUGUUCAGGAACACAGAGGACCCAGGGUCACGGUGAGGUGAACGCAGAUGGUGCAGAAGCCCCACCCACGUUCGUCCAGGUCUGUGCCAAGCAGGAAUGCGGCCAGUCCAGGUUGUGCCCCCUUAAAGGACAGCUCAGCCAUUGUACCUCGUGGCAGGCACUUAUCACAACCCUGUCACACCUUGCACAGCAAGUAAUCUGUAAUCUGUGCCCUAAAGGUAUGCUUUGCACCAGGAAACAGGACUUCAUCUGCCGACCUGGUCAUGUAUGCUUGGUGGAAACCGUAGCAGGAGGUGAAGGACACCAAACAAACCAGGGUCCAGGAGCCACAGAAUGUCACAGCCUCUGGUCCAGGCCCUCGGAGCUUGCAGAUGAUGUGGGGGCAGGGCAGGGCAGGACGGGGAGACGCCUCCUUGGUUCUGUUGCUGUCACAGCAAAGCCACAUGUAUCCUUCGCCCAGAUUUGGCUUCCUUGGCAUUGUUUCAAAAUGAAUUAAUUUUUCAGUUGACAAAUAAGAAUCAUACAAGCAUUUCCUUGAAGCACGAGCUUUCACUAAAGCUUCCCAUUCAGCCACUUGCUGUCAAGCCCAGCACCAGGGGCUGGUGACACAGACACGUGGUCCCCGCCAGGUCUGGACAGGAGCCCCCGGCAUGGACAAAGACAGCUCUGACCUCUGUCCCUGCCACCCUAGUAACUCCAGAACCCCUGGAGCAGUUCUGGAGGAAAUAAAAACUGUAAUCGCUAAUUGAUCCUCUGGCCCAAAUGAUGUUUAUUUGGAAUGUUUUCUUUCUGCUGUGAAACUGAGCCGUGCACUGAGAAGUCACAAAGCGCCAUUCUCCCGGCGUCGGCAGAAGUGGAUUUAAUUUCCGGAGUCGGGCGUGCGCCUGGGCCUCUGGGCCUGUGAAAGAGGCUCAGAAGUUCGGUCCAGAGCCCCCGUAGGUCACGGAGGCAGCCGGGGGCCUGUGGAGCGCAGGGGCUCCAUGGCACGGAGCAUCACUUUCUCAUAAAAACACAGUGAACUAAGAGUCCGGACGGCGGACGUCUGGCUUGUGAUCAGAUUUUGGCUGAAGCUGAUGAUCCUGGAGCAGCGGGGGAAAGGUGAGCCCCGCUGUCCCGGCCACAUUCCUGUGCCGUCAGCCUCCGUUCCGGAGCCCUGCCGAGCCCCGAGUGCGGCGGGAGCCCAAGCAUGGCGCUGCUCCUUCUGCUCGUGAGACCGCCAACCUCUUCCCGUUCCCAGUCACAACACGGCCGGGCGGGCUGGGACCCACUCGUGCCUUCCGAAGCGUUUUCUCAUCUCCUUAAAAUAAUUCCGCGUCAGCUGCAAACUAGCAAGAAGGAGGACGUGUGGCGGGGAGGUUCCCAGUGCCCAAAGACGCGGGCGUUUCCUGUGCCCGGAAGCCCGCUCAAGGAAAACUGGGCUGGCAUGGUCAGCCCUUUCUGGCCAAAGUGUGCCAACAAGUACAUUUGCAGGAUACAUUUUUGACUGUGAAUUAGCUAAACUAGAAAUGCAUGACUUAGUGUUAUAUGCAGAAAUGCGGUUAUUUUGGUAGCUCAAUACCUUGGAAAGAGAAUAUUGAUUCAUGUGGGGCCUGAGGCAUUUAAUUAAUCAUAACUUCCCAAAAGAUUGCUGAAACUUUUGUUUUAGUGGUACUGGAGAUUGAUCCCAGGGGUGCUCUA